GCGCGCAAAUUACCCAAUCCUGACACGGGGAGGUAGUGACAAUAAAUAACAAAUAACCGGGCGCGUUAGUGUCUGGUAAUUGGAAUGAGUACAAUCUAAAUCCCUUAACGAGGAUCCAUUGGAAGGCAAGUCUGGUGCCAC
rnacentral:rRNA from 1 species